rnacentral:lncRNA from 1 species
AAAUGAAUAACUUACAUUCACUUCACAAUUAGUAACUUUGAUUCACUUCAAAACAUAAAAUAAAUUUUCAAAAUUAAUAGCAACAUCUAGUUAAAUCUUUUCACUAUACAAUGUAAUAAAAUCAUCAACCAUCAUACUUCAUGUACUUCUAUGACACUUGUUAUCUUGGUUUCCCUAACAGGCCUCAAUGGUGCUUCGUCGUCACCUUGAGCGUUCAUGAAUUUCUUUUGGUGGUGGAUCCUGAAAAUCAUCAUCUGAAUCAACUGAACGUUUAUCAUCAACUCCAUCCUACUCUGGUAUUUUAAACUUUGACAUUUCCCUUUAAGUUGUCUCUAUGUUCUUAAAUACAACCUAGGAAUAUAGAAAAAAUAUGUUAAAGUAUCUGUUAAACAAUUAUAACGCAAAUGUAUACAUGUAGACUAUAAAAUACAUAUCUCGUCAAAAAUGAAGUCGUACCUAUUACCGACACAAAUACAAAUAUGUCCAUAACCACAAAUGUAUUGGUAUAUUUCCACAAUAUACUGAAAAUACAUAUAGCCAAAUACCUCUUCAUGAGUAGUUCAUAUAUAAAUGUAUUUUUUCAUAUAUGCAAGUUAGCAAAUUCAUUUAACAUACAAAUACAACUAAACAUAGCAACUUUACAAAAGAUACAAAUAAAUACAUGUUAACCCAAAAUGUAUACUAAACCUAUCAUCUUCACAAAUCAGCUUUACUGAAAUUCCUAAAUACAUAUCAGCUGAUCAGUAAAUACAUAUUAGCUUCACAAAAAAAUACAUAUUACCCAAAUUGAUAACAACUUUAAUGAAAUCCCUAAAUAUAUAACAGUAAAUAAAAAUACAUAUACAACGAAAAAUACCUCUUCCUCCAUGUAUUCUUCAGAUUCAUUAGCAGAAGAGUUCUCAACAUCGUCAUCAACAUUGCUUGACUUUGCAAUUUCUUAUGCUUUUCUUUUCUUCUCAUAUUUUUUAUUUUUUUAUAUUUUGGAGAAGGAAUUUUUUUCAACCAUUUUUUUUUAAAAUAUCAACCAUCUUCGAAAAAAUCCAACAAACAACAACAACAAAUCAACCCAAAAUCAUCUACAAUAUCUAUUCAACUCCGAUUAUCCUCCAUUAAUCGCAACUAAACAAAAACCCAGUUCCAAUUAUCAUCUAAUUUUUUUUUCAACUAUAUCAACUCAUAAAACAUCAAAUUUUACUGAAAAACAAACAAAACAAAAUUCAGCAAAGCCGAUCGCCUUGAUUCUUUGUUAACAACUACAAAAAUCAAAACCUUAAAAAUAAAGUGGAGAAAUUAUUUACAGUACAAAAUUAAAAAAAAUAUUGAGAAAUUGAUAAUAUGCAAUAACUGAAUUAAUUAGUUACCUGAAAUUGUGGAACAAUAUCCUUAUCAGAUCGUGCAAAAGACGUUAAGAAGGAAAAAAUUUUGAAAGAGAAAAUUUAAGAAAAAGCGUGAAAAAUGGUAAAGUAAAAAGCAAUUAAAGAAAAGAGAAAGAUUUUAAGCGUGAAAAAUGAAACCUCAAAUAUGGUAAUUUCUGAGAGGCGGUAAGUGUGGUCUCCCACUUAAAAUAAUGCUAAGUUUUCUACACAAGGUAAUUUCAUUAAAGUGUUGCUAUUUUUUAUAAUCUAAGUGUUAAGUAUGCUACUCCCUAUAGUUUUUGCCCUUAUAAUAAUCAAAUCCUAUAUUUUUGGAAAAAGUUUCUUUUUUUUUUUUUUUGGAAAAGUCAAGUACAAACACAAAUCAAAUAAUAGCUUUUUCCUUUUUUUUUUUGGAGAAGUGACGUACGUAACGUGCA